UUGCCAGCCGCCGCGGUAAAACGUAGGUAGAGAGAGUGGUAAGGAUUCACUGGGUGUAAAGGGCGCGUAGGUGGUUGUCUGUGUCUCAUGUGAAAACUCAGGGCUCAACUCUGAGAUGGCGUGGGAAACUAGGCAGCUAGAGGACGGUAGAGGGGAGUGGAAUUCCCGGUGUAGCGGUAAAAUGCGUAGAUAUCGGGAGGAACACCGGUGGCGAAGGCGGCUCUCUGGGCCGAUCCUGACGCUGAGGCGCGAAAGCUAGGGGAGCGAACCGGAUUAGAUACCCGGGUAGUCCUAGCCGUAAACGAUGGGUGCUAGGUGUUGGGGGGUAAAGACCCUUCAGUGCCGAAGCAAACGCGAUAAGCAUCCCACCUGGGGAGUACGGCCGCAAGGUUGAAACUUAAAUGAAUUGGCGG
rnacentral:rRNA from 1 species